rnacentral:misc_RNA from 1 species
GAUGAAGAACGUAGCGAAAUGCGAUACGUAGUGUGAAUUGCAGAAUUCAGUGAAUCAUCGAAUCUUUGAACGCACAUUGCACCUCUCGGUAUUCCGGGAGGUAUGCCUGUUCGAGCGUCAUUUGUACCCUCAAGCUCUGCUUGGUGUUGGGUGUUUGUUCCGCCUCUGUGUGUGAACUCGCCUCAAAACAAUUGGCAGCCGGCCUACUGGUUUCGGAGCGCAGCACAAGUCGCACUCUCUAUCAGCAAAGGUCUAGCAUCCAUUAAGCCUUUUUUUCAACUUUUGACCUCGGAUCAGGUAGGGAUACCCGCUGAACUUAAGCAUAUCAAUAAGCGGAGGA